rnacentral:rRNA from 1 species
AGUGAACGCUGGCGGUAGGCCUAACACAUGCAAGUCGAACGGCAGCACAGGAGAGCCUGCUCUCUAGGUGGCGAGUGGCGGGCGGGUGAGGAAUACAUCGGAAUCUGCCCAGUCGUGGGGGAUAACGUAGGGAAACUUACGCUAAUACCGCAUACGACCUUCGGGUGAAAGAGGGGGAUCGCAAGACCUCUCGCGAUUGGAUGAGCCGAUGUCGGAUUAGCUAGUUAGCGGGGUAAUGGCCCACCAAGGCGACGAUCCGUAGCUGGUCUGAGAGGAUGAUCAGCCACACUGGAACUGAGACACGGUCCAGACUCCUACGGGAGGCAGCAGUGGGGAAUAUUGGACAAUGGGCGCAAGCCUGAUCCAGCCAUACCGCGUGGGUGAAGAAGGCCUUCGGGUUGUAAAGCCCUUUUGUUGGGAAAGAAAUCUUUCAGGCUAAUACCCUGGGAGGAUGACGGUACCCAAAGAAUAAGCACCGGCUAACUUCGUG